GGAAGUAAAAGUCGUAACAAGGUUUCCGUAGGUGAACCUGCGGAAGGAUCAUUACUGAUUUAGCGAACCGAGCAUUAGCGAGGUUUUGCGAUCAAAUUAUAUUUAAAACCCACUCUUUAAUGUAUAAAAUUUGUAUUAUGAUAAAUUAAAAGAUCACUUUCAACAACGGAUCUCUUGGCUCUCGCAUCGAUGAAGAACGUAGCGAAGUGCGAUAAGUAAUGUGAAUUGCAGUAUUCCGUGAAUCAUCGAAUCUUUGAACGCAUAUUGCACUUUCUGGUAUUCCGGAAAGUAUGCCUGUUUGAGGGUCAGUUAAAUAAAAAUCGGUGUUGUUGCUGCCUUUCGUGGUGACGCGUCGGAAUUGAGUUGUCUUACCCUUCGGUUAAGUGACUUAAAAUUUUGUAUGAUUUUUGAACGUAUUUAAAUUUAUUUGUACGUUUGAGAUAUCGAAUAUUUAUUAGGUUCGGUCAUUCUAACGACUCGCGCCUAUAAUUUUCCAUUAAAUGACCUCAAAUCAGGUAAGAAUACCCGCUGAACUUAAGCAUAUCAAUAAGCGGAGGA
rnacentral:rRNA from 1 species